GCCAGGUAUGGAGGCACAGGUCUGUAAUCCCAGCCACUCAGGAGGAUGAGGUAGAAGGAUCAAAAGUUUUAAGGUUGCUUGAAUCUUUAUCAGAAAUUAGUAAAAAACAAACUGAAAGAGUGUUAAGUAAAUUGUUAGAGGAAGGAGGCAUCCCAGUAAAAUCAAGAGCAGUCAGGGCAUACGUUGAUACAAUACAAAAAUGUAGCCCAUGGCUUUUUAAGGAGGAGUUGUUGAAUAUAUCACAAUGGAACCAUCAUGGUGAAGAUUUAAAAAGAAUAGAAAAGAAAAGCCCAGGGACUCUGCCAGUUGGCACACUGCCAUUGUGGA
rnacentral:lncRNA from 1 species